CCUUAUACGAUGAUUACACUGAUGAGUGUCCACACAGAUUGAUGGUUUAUACGGUUUUAGAGAAAGAAUGUUCCCAAACAUUCGCAACUUAGUGUCCCGUUCGUCUAGAGGCCUAGGACACCGCCCUUUCACGGCGGUAACAGGGGUUCGACUCCCCUACGGGAUACCAUCUUUAAGCACAUUGCUUAAGUGUUCUUAAAAAUGGUUUUCAUCAGAAAAUCUUGCUCUUUAACAAUUUGGAAAGCUGACUGAUAACAACAUUAUUUGUUGUUAUCAAAUAAAAGUUCUCAAUAUCAAUACGUUUACGUGUUGAUACCAAACACAUUCAAGUGUUCUUGGGAAAGCUUACUGCGGUAAGUUUUCAAAAUUGAGUCCGGCAAAAUCGAAAUGUCUCUCGCUCAUUCAAUAAAGAGAGACACUAAACCUUGGUGACUUGUCAUCAACACGAAACUUCUUCGGGUUGUAU
rnacentral:tRNA from 1 species